AUUGAACGCUGGCGGCAUGCCUUACACAUGCAAGUCGAACGGUAACAGGUUAAGCUGACGAGUGGCGAACGGGUGAGAAAUACAUCGGAACGUGCCCAGUAGUGGGGGAUAGCCCGGCGAAAGCCGGAUUAAUACCGCAUACGACCUAAGGGUGAAAGGGGGGGAUCGCAAGACCUCUCGCUAUUGGAGCGGCCGAUGUCAGAUUAGCUAGUUGGUGGGGUAAAAGCUCACCAAGGCGACGAUCUGUAGCUGGUCUGAGAGGACGACCAGCCACACUGGGACUGAGACACGGCCCAGACUCCUACGGGAGGCAGCAGUGGGGAAUUUUGGACAAUGGGCGCAAGCCUGAUCCAGCCAUGCCGCGUGCGGGAAGAAGGCCUUCGGGUUGUAAACCGCUUUUGUCAGGGAAGAAAUCCUUUGGGUUAAUACCUCGGGGGGAUGACGGUACCUGAAGAAUAAGCACCGGCUAACUACGUG
rnacentral:rRNA from 1 species